AAAAGAAUAGAAAGAAAAGAGCCUUCUUUUUCUGUGUUCUCACAUGGUAGAAAGAGAAGGGAACUCUCUGGAACCUCUUUCAUAAGGGCACUAACCCCAUUCAUGAGGGCCUUGCUCUCAUAACACAAUCACCUCCCAAAGACCCCACAUCCCAAUAGCAGCACUGUGGGGACCAGGAUUUAACAAAUGAAUUGGAGGGGACACAAAUACUUGGUCCAUAGCCUUGCACAGGCUGCUUCCAUGGGGGCAACACCCUCAAUAAAAGGCACAGCACGUUUCCAAGUUAUAAUUGCACAACUUGGAAAGUGAGCUGAGGAAGCAAAAAAGAAACAAGAAAUGGAUAUCUAGAGCUCUCAGAGGAUGCCUCAGGCAAUCAGACUCUCUCGAGCUCUCUAGCUGGCUCCUGGUUCCAUAAGACCAGACUAUUUGAUCUACCUUGUUUCAUCAUACGUUCUCAAUCAUUGGCUUUAAGAAGCCAUCUCAAAUGCACACUGAGGCUUCAAAGGAACUGUCAGCAGCCUGCGAGUUUUCCUUCCACAAGGGACAGAGGAGACAUUGAAACAUUCAGUCAACAGUGUUUGCCACUCAAAGAGCUUUGAUACAAGGAACAGGAUAUCAAGAUCAAAAUUCCGCCCAAGCUUGGCAUUCAAAGCGCUCAGACUUGACAAUUCCUGACUGAAUGCCACCAACAUCUCAACUAAAGCCCUCUGGGGGCUGGGACACAAAGCUGUUGACACGGCAAGAUAUGACUUUGAUAAUUCCUCUGGGCUCAUCUUGGUGACUCUAUCUUAAUACAGUGUGUUUCAUUUAAAACAAAAGAAGUCACACACAAGCAUCAAGAUAUUCUGAACCUGAUAGGUACCAUAGACCAGACCGGGAGCAUGAGACUUGCUCACUUUUUCAAUAAGAAUGUCCCCCUCAGAGGCUGCUCCUAUACAAACUAACCAGUUGUUAGCUUGUCAGAGUUGCUGAUAGCACAGGCUUCCCCUUAGAAUUACCGGCAUUUUCCACCCUAACCCUUCAGCAAAGAAAUUUGGUGGCUGGCAGACAGAAAUGAGUUAAAACUAGUAAGUCUAUCUUUGGCCUGUUCCCUAGGAAAAACACUGAUAUUAUUUGUUCCAAGUAUUUAUAAUGAGGUCUCUAAAAUAUUUUUUUCCCUCUCUCUCCCUCACUCUUUGUCUCCUUCUCCCUGCUAAUGGAGAAAUCUCAAAAUGUUUAUGAACUCUGAGAGCUGAGUGCUGCCCAGGCCUCCCACCCACCCGACAUCCUUCCACACACACACUUAUGGCUUUGGUCAGCUGUCAGAUGAUAUGACAAAAAGCUUAGCAGACAUCUGUUCAUGGAUUAAUGGCCAUGGUAUUUCUUUCACUAUCAAAGAUAAAUUGCUAGACAGCUGUAUUAAAAACCACAGCACAGUUCUCGACACUGGUGAUGCACAGACGAGAUGACCAAUUUUCUAAAUGGGGUCACGAAGAACAUUCUUAUUUCGGGAGCCAUUUUUUCCCAGUGAGAAAAGAUGGAAAGCAAUAACAAGGACUGCUGUGCAAACUUCAAAUUCAAAAGGGUCCAAGCUUCCUUUCUGGCUGCUGAUAAUGACAUGUUAUUUGAAGAUUGUUCUGGCAGUCAGAGUUUACAAAAAGAAAAAGGAUCAGAGAGUGAAUGCUUUGCUUUGCCAACGCGGCUCCUGUAAAUGGUAUGAAAAGCGUAUUUUCCAAACUCAGACUCAGUUAGGUUCCUAAGGAAGUGGGCCUGUACUCGUGACUUUGGUCAGCUUGUGAAACGAUGUAAUAAAAGAAUAUCACAUAAUAUUUAUCUGAGGAGUAAAUAAGAUAAAAUAUACCAACAGUCCAGCAUGUGGUUGGCUCUAAAAGGCUAGUUCCCUGGCCUUUUGGCCUUCGGAAGUCCCCUUUAAGCUGAUCCUCACUGGCACCAAGCAUGUGAAUACCUGUGUUAGGUCCUCUUGGCUGCAUUGCCAAGUUUUCUCAGCUAGAUGUUUGAUGAAGACAGUCAGAAUGUGGCAUUUAUAAAUAUGUUUAAAAUCAAUGAGAGAUUUCUAAAGCAGAUAUUAUAUAAAACAAAUACUAGAAUCGUUCAUCAGUUCUUAAGAAGGAAGUAAGCUCAUCAGUUUUUAAGAAGGAAGUGACAUAAAAACACAGUUAGGGCCGGGCGCGGUGGCUCACGCCUGUAAUCCCAGCACUUUGGGAGGCCAAGGCAGGCAGAUCACGAGGUCAGGAGAUCAAGACCAUCCUGGCCAACAUGAUGAAACCCCAUCUCCACUAAAAAUACAAAAAUUAGCUGGGCAUGGUGGCACCUGCUUGUAAUCCCAGCUACUUGGGAAGCUGAGGCAGGAAAAUUACUUGAACCAGCGAGUCGGAGGUUGCAGUGAGCCGAGAUGGUGCCACUGCACUCCAGCCUGGCGAGAGAGCAAGACUCCAUCUAAAAAAAAAAAAAAAAAAAAAAAAAAAAAAAAAAAUCACACACAGAAGCCAGAAAUAGAAAAGCAACAGAGCAGAAAACUUGGGUAAAGCACGACCAGCCAGCAUUUAUUUGGAUGGCUCCCUGACAGAGACCAGGCCUGAGGAACCCUCCCAGGACGAGAGGUGACGGAUACACAACCAGACCAGGAGCCCAGAUUCCAGCACUAGACCCUCAUAUGACCCGUGACACUGAGAAAGUUACUAGCAUGGCCCGACGUCAAUAUCCUUGUUGGUGAAAUGAAGAAAAUCAACUAAUCAUCAAGAUCUUUCCAUUUCUCAACUGUCCAUGAAAUAAUAGUUCAGUAAAAAUAGCAGCAGACUGAAUGACAAAUUGAAUAUGGAUUUCAAAGAAACAGAAGGUUUUGAGGCUAGAAAUCUGCCUGAGAGAUCGUGAUGAGGGGCCAGACUGUGAGCUCAGCUUCCCAUAUAGGCAGGUUCAAUAUGGAGCUCAGCACAUAUAGGCAGGUUCAAUAUGGAGCUCAGUACAAAACAAACGCCAUGAAGAGAUCAUUAAAAAAAAAAAAAAAGACAAA